rnacentral:rRNA from 1 species
GACGAACGCUGGCGGCGUGCCUAACACAUGCAAGUCGAACGGAAGCAGAGAUUUCGGUUUCUGCUUUAGUGGCGAACGGGUGAGUAACGCGUGAGAAACCUGCCUCUCAGUGGGGGACAACAGUUGGAAACGACUGCUAAUACCGCAUAACACUUUAGUACCGCAUGGUACAGAAGUCAAAGCUUAAUGUGCUGAGAGAUGGUCUCGCGUCUGAUUAGCUAGAUGGUGGGGUAACGGCUCACCAUGGCGACGAUCAGUAGCCGGUCUGAGAGGUUGAUCGGCCACAUUGGGACUGAGACACGGCCCAGACUCCUACGGGAGGCAGCAGUGGGGGAUAUUGCACAAUGGGGGAAACCCUGAUGCAGCAAUGCCGCGUGAGGGAAGAAGGUCUUCGGAUUGUAAACCUAAGUUGUCAGGGACGAUACAAGACGGUACCUGAAGAGAAAGCUCCGGCUAACUACGUG